rfam:Ornithorhynchus anatinus chromosome 5, whole genome shotgun sequence.
AGCAGCGUGGCUUAGCGGAAAGAGCACGGGCUUGGGAGUCAGAGGUCAUGGGUUCGAAUCCUGCCUCUGCUA